GACGAACGCUGGCGGCGUGCUUAACACAUGCAAGUCGAACGGAAAGGCCUCUUUCGGGGGGUACUCGAGUGGCGAACGGGUGAGUAACACGUGAGUAACCUGCCCUUGACUCUGGGAUAACUUCAGGAAACUGGGGCUAAUACCGGAUAGGAGCUCCUCCUGCACGGUGGGGGUUGGAAAGUUUCGGCGGUUGGGGAUGGACUCGCGGCUUAUCAGCGUGUUGGUGGGGUAGUGGCUUACCAAGGCUUUGACGGGUAGCCGGCCUGGGAGGGUGACCGGCCACAUUGGGGCUGGGAUACGGCCCAGACUCCUGCGGGGGGCAGCAGUGGGGAAUAUUGCACAAUGGGUGGGAGCCUGAUGCAGCAACGCCGUGUGCGGGAUGACGGCCUUCGGGUUGUAAACCGCUUUCGCUCAUGACGAAGCUUUGUGUGACGGUAGUGGGUAAAGAAGCACCGGCUAACUACGUG
rnacentral:rRNA from 1 species